GUCCAUAAUGAUAAUUUUGUCCCAGGGCUUAUAGCCCAGGUGGGUGGAUCUCGCCCCCCCCCCCCCCCCCCCCCCCCCCCCCCCCCCCAGUUUCCCCGCUCUCUAUCUUUCUGCGAUUUUUCCUCCCAUGGCCUCUCUCUCUUAUCCGCAUCUGCAGCCAAAUCAAGCGCGGGAAGAAACAAGUCUCCAAGUCCGACAAGCAUCUCCAGGAGGCUCAAGCUCUUUCUCGGUUAAUUGACUAGGAAAUCCUCCAAAAAGCAGUUUAAGCUAGCCACCAAAUGUUGAGGUUCCCAGCAAACUCAAGCUGUUUCUCGGCUUUUGUAUCUUCUCCAGCCUUAACCAUUGUUUUUGUGACCAACGGCAACCAAUGACGACCCAUCAAAGCCCAACAAUGGCAACUGUUCUUACCUUCACUGACGGCCCGAACGACACCCAACGACGGCAACUGUUCUUAUACCUUUGCCGACGACCCCAACAACGCCUAAAGACGGCCCAACGGCGACGACCAGAUCCAGCGUGAAAGAGUUCAAUCUAGGUUUCCGGCCAAAACCCACAGUUCAAUCUAGGGUUUUCGGCCAAAACCUGACCACCACCAUAGCCUUCGCCGUCGAUUUGGAGUGACAGAAGGACGGAGAGAGACCCAGCGUGAGAGAGAGAGCGAGAGUGACAAAGGGAGGGAGAGAGCGAGAGAAGCCAAGCGAGGGUUCCGUACUCGCUCGUCCUAGCGAGGUUUCCGCACCUCGCUUGCCAUGGCAAGGUGUGACGCGAGACUACUGGGAGGCGGAUUUGAGGGUUUUGCUCGGGUAACAGGCGAGGUUGAGGGAUAAGAAAUUCUGCUGGAGAUGCUAAAACCGGGAAGCUGAAGCAACUCGCCAUCGAGGAUGACUUCGAUCUAGAUCUCUCCAGGUCCGUUCUUCCACCAGCGACCACAAUCCAAGCUCAUCAUCUUCCAGCCCAACAAGCGCAUGAAAAAGCAAGGAAGGAGAGUGUCACAUGCCAACUGGUAGUACGCCAAAGCGGAUCUGUCAUUAACUAAAUGGCACUGUAAAGUAGGUACUGGAUUGGUAAACCAAGACAGCAAAGACGUCCGCAACAAGAACAAAGACUGAACUUCUUGCACCAGCCUCAGAGGAAAUCAACCACAACUGGAUAACAAACCUUUUGGCAUCUAUAACUUCCAAUUUAAAUACUUUUGCUUUCUCUAACUCGCACGAACUCUACUCUAGGUCUUUUGUAAGCAUAUAUAAACCUAUAACCAAAGUCGUGCAGUUAAUGUAGAUGACAUACUUAUGUAUAUCAAACACUUGAUCAAACUUAUGCGUACAACUUUGGUUACAUUCAUUCAUAUUUAUAAUUUCAAAAGCAUUCAAA